rnacentral:misc_RNA from 1 species
AAUAUUUUACCCACAUUCGCCAUUUUCCUGUUUGUUUAAAGCCGUGUGGAAUUGAUUUCUUCCAACAAAAUUCAUCAAAUAGAUAGAGAGAAAUAUUUCAAAACCUAUAAAUUUUUAAAUUUAUAGAAUUUAAGCUUUUAAUUAAAAAUUCGCAAUGACUGGACGAGGAAGAGGAUUUAGAGGAGGAAGGUAAAUCGAUGGAACUAUAAAAUCAUACGUUCUUAUAUGCAAUAUUUCAGAGACGAAUUCCGAGACACGAGAUACCAAAAGCCUUCUUAUGGUAGGGGUGAGAAUGGACCUAGAGGACGUGGCAAUUUUAGAGGUCGUGCACCUCGACGUAGCCCAAUGGAUCACAAGAAUGUUAGAAGUUCUAGCCCUCCCAGAUUCGAACGUCGAAUGCCACCAGUUGAUCGUGACCGAAUGCCACUUGGGCGAUAUGCAUCUUCACCUCCAAGAUCACCUCCACCCCAACAGAAGUUACACAGCAUAGUUAUGCCCUCCAGUAGAUAUGGUGGACCACCGUCCCCUAAUGGCGAUUAUAGACGAAGAUUAUCUUCUCCGCCUAAAUAUUCGAAAAGUUACGAUAACUUUGACAGACACUUCCCUGGACCACCACGAAAUAACUCUAGAGAUUAUUAUAUCGAAAGAGAUCGUAUGUCUCCACCUCCGGCACCAAGAAGUGGAGAUUAUGAUAGAUUUGACCGUCAAAUGAGGGAUCCACACAGGGAUAUGGGAUAUUCACGAAGUAGGCAGAUGGGAGACUCUAUGGGUAGAUCACGAGGACCAAGAGUAGACAUGUCUUCAUCCAGAGGUCGCUCACCAUAUGAUAGACGUGAAACUGUCAAGAGACACAGAAUGGAUAUGGGAGGUCCUUUACCAAAACGCUUCAGAGAUGAUCCACCGAAUUUUAGAGAUGCUCCACCACCACCAAGGAGAGAUAGAGGACCUCCCCCUCCACCUAGAGGACCACGGGACUUCUCAUCACCUCCGAGGGGAGGCUAUCGCGAUAUGUCGCGAGGGGGUCGAGGUCAGAGAGGAAGAGGUUUCAGAGGUCCCCGUGGAAUGAAGCAUUAGACUCAAGAUGUUUUGUUCUUCAGCCUUUGCUGAGUUUUCUUUGUAAAUUUUCGUAAAAAACGUUUAGAGUAUUUUAUAAAUACAAAAUAGCUGUUGAUGGAUCCACCUUCUAUUUGGGAUUUUGAAUUUAACAAUUAAUGAUCGCCCUGGAAAUUUUAAGCAGUAAGUUGAUGACUCGGCUAGAAAUGCUUCCUAACAUUCACAGCACGAAACAACUUUUUCUCAACGUUCAGGAUGGUAAGGAUAUAGUUUAACUUCCUUUAAAUGAUUUAAUUUUGAAGAGGCAAAUGGUUUGAAAUGGAAAUAAUAUAAAAAUGCAUUACGUAAGUAUCUUAGAUUAAGCCGACAAGUGGUUGAUAAACCAUUGAAUUCAUUCGUUUCUGCAUAAUCUCCUGAAAAUGAGAAGAAAGCUGAACAUCGAUCCGGUAAAAAAUUUUUUUGUUUUGAACCAAAGAUCACCAUCUAGAAAUGUAUCAAUUAUAUUUCUCAUACAUUCUGGAUAAAAUGAAUGAAAUAUUUUAAACAUUUUAUUCAUUUCAUUCUACACAACACUACGAUGAACUUGUGAUCUAUUGAACAUUUUUCAGUACGUAACGACAUAAAAAACAUCGAGUUUCAAAGAGGCUUACGCAUUAAUUAUUUAAUUCGAAUUACUUUAAUUAAGCUAAGCACCCUUUAGUCUUCUUGGAAACUCAUUGAUAAAAUCAAAGGCUUUCAGUCACAGCAUUAAUAACUUUAAACGAAAGAAAAUUACUAUAAAAUCUCGAUACCAGCAACGAAAUAAUUUAUUGGUGAUCCGAACAAUGGAGAGUGGUCGAAAAACGGUAACUAUUCAGUCCUUAUCAGACGAAAACUGCUCUAGAAGGUAUAUCUGGUUUAAAAAAAUGUAUACUUAUUAAAUGAUAUUUGAUUGUUUUGGUUUGUAAAUAGUAAAAAAGCGAAUUUCUUAAAAUCACCUAAAAUGUUAUUUCGAAAACAAUCAUUUCUAAUUUUUCGACGAGCCUGUUUAAUCAUCUAUAUUACGGAUCAAAUAGUCUCUAAUUUCCAUUCUAUCUUCAAAAUUGGAAUACUCACUGAAUUUUAAAAUAGAGCGAAAUUUACAUAUUUCAACAAAGGUUCAAACCGAAGGAUAUUCAACUUUUUUUGUAUAUUAUACCAUAAUUUUUUUGAUUUUACUGUUUAGCCAACUUUUUUUUACCUACAACUAUUCUUCAAUGUAUAAUUCGCACUUAUACAUAUAUUUCUUCAUCGAACAUCAACAAACGAUCUUAAGACUACCACUCAACAGAAGAAAGUUAAGAUUAAAAUUAUCUUAAUCUUUCUAUUAAGCGUCGAAAAUUUUUGUGGAAGUUUGAAACCUAUUUAUAAACUAGGAAAGAAAUGAGAUCACAUCAAACGUCUUCUCCAUCCGAGAUCUUAAUAUGAUGCUAUCCGAAUUAGGGAGAUAAAAAAACAAUCUUUUGCUUCACUUUAACCUCUAAAAAUCUCUGAAGAGGAAAAAUUUUCAUUUAUUUUCGGAUAUAUAAUACUUUGUAUUUGAAGCUCAGCGUUUUAACAAUAUUGGCGUAACCGUAAGUCAUGUAACGAGAUAUGUCAAACCCUUUUAUGAGUUCUUAAGUAUAUUAGAGUGUUUUGAAAUACAAUAUAUGCUUUUGUUUUGCAGUUUGUGCUGGCUAGAAGAUAUUC